AUCUGCUGCGGUGCUGUGCUCCCAUCCCCAGUAUCUGCUGUCGAUUUUUGUGAGCCACCUGUGGGUGGCUGAUGCGGCAGAGUCCUUGUCCCAGCCCUGGCAGUAAGGAAAUCAGCUCUCUGCUCAGUUUUCCCAGGAAAAAAAAUGUGAUGGUUGGGAGGCCAGGUCCCAACUGAAGACCCAGUUAGGAGGGAAGAGCCGAUGCGCAGGUACUUCUCACAGAUGGCCACUGGCAGUCAGCAACAAGACAAACCGUGUUCGGCUCCUGACCAAGUCCAUGCUUGUCUGUGCUGCAAUUAGAGUGGAGCAAUACAUGUUGCACAUAGUACGGUCCAAAUUUCUCAUGGAGAUGAGUGUUGUGGAGCUGGGCAAAGCUCAGGAGCUGUCCUCAGCCUGGUGGUAAUUGUAAGGUCUUUCUGCAAGCUUGAAUGCUGGGAAGCUGCGAAGCUGGGAGCUGGCUCCUAAUAUCCUCAUAGGUUGCUUUACACCUGGACACAGCAGACUACAGAAGGAUGGAGUAGUCUCAGGCUUUGGUAAAUAAAAUAA